rnacentral:misc_RNA from 1 species
AACGCAAAUUGCACUUUCUGGUAUUCCGGAAAGUAUGCCUGUUUGAGGGUCAGUUAAAUAAAAAUCGGUGUUGUUGCUGCUUUUUCGUGGUGACGCGUCGGAGUUGGGUCGUCUUAACUUCGGUUUAAGUGACUUAAAAUUUUUCAUGAUUUUUGAACGUAUUUAAAUUGCUUACGUACGUUUGAGAUAUCGAAUGUUUUAUUAGGUUCGGUCAUCCUCAUGACACGCGCCUAUAAUCUUUCAUUAAAUGACCUCAAAUCAGGUAAGAAUACCCGCUGAACUUAA